rnacentral:piRNA from 1 species
UCGAAUCCAUCUCAGUAGGAGGGUGUCUAGU